AAAGAUUAUUCUGAGUUUGGAAGGUUAUUCUUUUGAGAAGUAGAAAAGAUUGGAACAAUGAGAAAUGUUAAAUAGUUAACAGUAUGAAUCACACAGAGUCAUCUGGAAAGUAUCCUGAAAUACUCAGAAAACUUUUUAGGGCCCUGAUUGCUGGAAAACCUGUGAUUGCAGAGGGUGUCUCUUUGUAUGUUGUGCGAGGGAGAUAGAGAAGCAGGAAAAUGGAAGCAGCCGUGGGAGAGUGUCACCAUCCUGUUUGUUUUAACACAGACUACAUGGGAUACACACAGGAGCAUGUGGCUGCCAAUGAAUAUGGGGCUUCUGGCCUGUCAGAUAAAACAGGUAAAUAACAAAUUCUGUAAAGUGUGUUCUUUUUUUUUUUUAAAUAGCAAAGCUGAAGUUGCUUGCUAAAUGUGAGUGAAAUUAAGAACUUAGGUGGAGUGUGCUGAAAUAAGAUUCAUUUGGUUUUACAAAACACAUGAGAUCAUCUGCAGUCAUCUAGGGAUCGUAGAGCUCAACAGUUGGAAACUACUUGGUUGGGUGUGUCCCUAAGUUUUGCAUGUGAAAAGUGAAAAAGAGUGGAAUGUAGACUGCAGUACAAGCUGUAGUCAGGGAUUUCGGAUUCUAACCAUGGUUCUGCUGGUAACCGGUUCCCUCACCUAAAUGAGGGAACUGACUUAAUUUCUCAAGGUAAGUGUUUUUUGGUGAUAAAAAUCAAGGGUUUUGCCAUAUAUCAACAUGAAUCCGCCAAUUGUAAAGUUAAAAAAUAAAAUUAAUUAAAAAAAACA
rnacentral:lncRNA from 1 species